rnacentral:lncRNA from 1 species
AGAGGAAAAAUAAAAAUAAUAAUAAAAAACUUGAUUCCUCUGCUAGGGUUUCAACCCUAGCUUCUACGCCGCCGCACCUCUACUGCGAUCCCACUGUGGAAGGUGGUCGGAGUCGCACCCCAAAGGGCUUAUUGGCUCCUUUUGCGUAGAUUGAAGGCGUCGCCAGGUAUUUCCCCUACUUUCCCUUUACUUUUUGUAUUACAAUAAAUCAAAUCGAAGAAAAGAGGAAACGAAGGAAAUAAAUUACUACCUUUUAAUCUAUUUUCCUUUCUUCUUUUUUUCUUCUGAAUUUCUGUUUGUGAUUUUUAUUCUCUGCUUGUAUACUCUGUUUUGCUGUGAAUAUAAUCGUAUUUUUAUUGAUUUCGAAAAUCCCUAUUUACAAUAUUCUUAAUGGCCUUUUAUAACAAAAUAACAACAUAGAUAGUAAAUCUAUUGGAUUUGAUUCUCAAUCUUUUGAUUUUCUUUCUAUUUUUGUUUCUUUCCUUGUCAUGCAGGUGAAGAUCGCGUGGAGAUUCGGCCUGUGUGGACGAUUGGAGUUGCGGCGGCUGAAGCUUAGAAACCCUAGGGUUUUUCAUCUGUUUUGGGCAACUAUUUCGGGUUUUGGGCCUCAUAGGCCCAUUUUAAUCUGGGCCUUUUACCCGGGCCAAAAUCGGGUAUUACAAAAAUAAUAUUUUAUUUUUAAUUACAAGAAAAUUAUUAAAUACAAAUAAUAUUUUUAUAUUCUAGUUAGUAGUUAGUAUUAUAUCAAAAUAUGAUAUAAUACUCCAUAUUGUUAAUUGGAAAUAAUAUUAGAAAUGUUUUUAUUUUUUUAUGUUAGUUUUUAAAAUUAUAUGAGGUCUUUUUUAAAAUUUCAAUCUUGUUCUUUCUCUUCAACCCAUUUUAUCUGUAAAAUGUCUUUACCCCUCUACAAAAUUCAUCUUCUCUCUAUCUAAAUUUACAAUCCACCAUAUUAUUUACUUUCUACCAUAUUUGCUUCCAUCAACCAAGUGGUUUCCGUAGUCGAUUACUGUGUC